GAGCUAUCGUAGUUAAAGCAUUAUAGUUUUAUUUCUGGCAGAAUUAAUGUAAAAAAUAAAUUACAUAAGGAUAUGUAGCCCUUAAAUGGGUAUAUGAGUGAAUAUGUGUGUGCAUAUAAAAUUCUGUGUAUAUGCAUUAGGAAUGUGAUAAAGGAACCACGACAGACCAAAGGGAAAAGGAUGCAUUAUUCAGUAGAGACAAAGGACUAAUCAGAUCAUCUUGUAGUUGGUUCCUCCAAAGUCUCCUUCAGGAUACUGGUGUUCUUGUAGGUACAUAGUUUUAUUCAGUAAAACAAGUGAUUAGAGGUCUUGGGGACUAAACUCAAACUUCAUAUGGGUAAGAAGCCCAGCUGGUACCUCGUGGGCCACUUUUGGUCCUGAGAACUGGUGCUGCAGGAUGAACAGAAAGUAUCAGUUAAGGUGCCUGAUGGGGAGGCUGCCCAUGAGACCCUAGCAAAGAUGUUGAUUGAUGCACACAGCAGGACAGUGGCUGUCCAAGUGUUACACACUGCUAAGGAGUGGUCAACAACUCACCUGUGAUGCACUAACCCUGAACAUGGAUGGCCCUGGAGUGAUGGGCCCAUACCUUCUUUGGCAGUGGACACAUGAGAGAGACUAGUACGAGAAGCACCUCAGCAGCCUGGAUCCCCCUCAGGGAUGCUAGGCUGUGAGAAGUAGGGCCACUGCAGUAAGCCUUGAGGCUUAAGGCGUGGGCUUCUGAUGGACCAGAC
rnacentral:ncRNA from 1 species